CGCACCCACCCCGGGCCACGGGGAGCCCCAGCAUCGUGCUGGGGGCGCAGAGGGAUUUUCUUCACUUAGAUGGGUGCUCAGAGUGAGAUUUUCAUGCUGAGCCUGGCCCAGCUCCUCAUUCUCCGGGCAUGAAGCCCCCGCAGAGCCACAGGAGCAUCCCCGGACGCUCUCCCGGGACGUCCCCGUGGGCUCCAAGGCCGAGGGGUGAAGCAGCCCCACCCUGGGCCAUGGCUCCCCUCCUCCCCACGGCUCUUUCCAAGCAUUUGUGGCAAAUGUGAUGCUGGAGAAGUUGGGAUCGUGGUGGCCCAGCUGCUGCUCCCUCCUCCGGGUCGGGUCCUCCUUCUCCCCCGUCCUUUGCUCCCCGUAGCUCAGUUAGGCAGGUAGGUGUUAGCAAACUCUGGGCUGUCUGCAAAAACUUCUGUAAAAUAGAAUAGACCCUUUAAAUGAUGCACUAAAAUGAAAAAAAAAUCAUAAAUGCCCCCCCCCGUCAGCUUCUCUGUGUGAUGGUUCCUUGGAUGUCCCCGCUCAGCCCAUCUGUACCGCACAGGCAGCUCUGCAUCCUCCCCCCGGCUGCUGCACAGGUAGAAACAAAACAGGACGUGCAUGUCCCCCGAGGAGUUUUAUUUAUUGUUUUGAGAAGCAAUUGAAAAGGGAAAAACAACAACAAAAAAAGGAGAAACUGUAUCUAUAAUAUAUAUAUAUAUAUAUAUUUUUUUUUUUUUUUUUAAUCUCUUUUUUUUUUUUUCCUGAUGCUCCUCCACCCGUGUGUGUGGGUGUGUGUGUGUGUGCGAGUCAAGGGAUUCGGUGCCCAGGGCUGGCAGCUGUGGGGCAGAUGUGGGGCAGAUGUGGGGCAGCUCGGGGCAGAUGUGGGGCAGAUGUGGGGCAGCUGUGGGCAGAUGUGGCAGCUCGGGGCAGCCGCCCUCGGCCCCGCCGGAGCACAGGGACCGGGGCUCCCCUCCCGUCCCAGCUCCCCGCGCCCAGCCGCAGCAGAGCGAGGGGAGGGAGGUUCGUGUCGAGUUUGUGAUGUUUUUUCCGGGAUCUUUGCCCAGUUCCACCUUUCUCUGAAGUGUUUUCAACCCUCGGGGUCUGGCCUGACCGAGAACCUCCCGCGCCCUGGGGGCGUCACCCCCACCCCCGUCCCGUUCCCUCCCUACUUUGCUCCCUUGACAAUCAGUGGCUCCUUCCCAGGGACUGCAGCACGUGGUUGAGACGUCUAUUUCGUUUUUUCAAUAUUCCUUUUUUUGUGCUGUAUGGUGAUGCGUUAUUGUAUAUUCCACAAUAAGACAAAAAAAAUAUAUAAAAAAAUGAUAAUAAUAAUAAUUACCAUGAGAAAUUCUUAUGAGUUUUGUUUGGAAACUCUUUCACUAUAUUUGUUGUAAAGAGGUUUACUAUUAAAAAGAAAAAAAAAAAAUACACGUUUCUGAUAAUUUUCCACGCCUCUGGCU
rnacentral:lncRNA from 1 species